UUUAUGGAGAGUUUGAUCCUGGCUCAGAGUGAACGCUGGCGGCGUGCCUAAUACAUGCAAGUCGAACGAUGAAGCUUUUAGCUUGCUAGAAGUGGAUUAGUGGCGCACGGGUGAGUAACGCAUAGAUAACAUGCCCUUUAGUCUGGGAUAGCCAUUGGAAACGAUGAUUAAUACUAGAUACACCCUAUGGGGGAAAGUGGCUCUUAAAUAAGAAUUUGAGUGUGUUUUGUGGUUUCUUUAAAUGUUUAGAUUCUAAAGAUUAAAAACAUAGAAUCUAGGAUUCUAUAAACUUUAAAAGAUUUGGCGGGUUAGUGAUAAAUGGAUAAAGCUUAAGAGUUUUAUCCUAUCGCCCACCCACCGCCCUUUUUGGUGGAGUUUGUAGAAUCUUGUUUUAGAUUCUAAAGGCGAGUCUGUAACAUAGAAUCUGAAAUAUAAAAUCUGUCAAAUUAGAUUCUAAAGAUUAAGAACGAAUCUUUUGAGAAUUAAGAUUCUAAUGGUUUAUGAAAUCUUAAAAAGUAGAUUCUAAAAACAAACGAUAGAAUCUAGAUUUUAUAAAACUUUAAAAGGAUUGUGGUUUUGUAGUGGAUGAUAAAAAAAUCAAAACUUUUUCUUAUCGCCCACCCACCGCCCUUUUAAAUGAAUGUUUAUAGAAUCUUGUUUUUAGAUUCUAAAGAUUUUUUGGAUUUAAAAAGAUUCUAAAGAUUUAGAUUCUAUCUAGAUUCUUAAAAAGUGUGGAUUGCUUCGCUUCGCUCGCAAUGACUAUAGAAUCUAGAUUCUAAGAUUUGAAAUAACUUAAUUAAAAAAGAUUCUAAAGGCAAGUCCAAAUAUAGAAUCUAAAAGAUAAAAUUUUAUAGAAUCUUUAGAUUUAAUCAUUUAAUCAAAGGGUUAGAAAAUUAGAUUUUAUUAAAUUAUAGAAUCUAAAAAGUUAGAUUUUAAAGAAAACAAAUUAUAGAAUCUAGAUUCUAUAAACUUUAAAGGAUUUGGUUAGCUGGUAAAAAGAUAGAAUCUAAUCCUAAUCGCCCACCCACCACCCUUUUUAAUGGAAAACAAAACACAAUAAAUUUUUAUUUAAGAGCUUACGCUAAAGGAUUGGUCUAUGUCCUAUCAGCUUGUUGGUGAGGUAAUGGCUUACCAAGGCUAUGACGGGUAUCCGGCCUGAGAGGGUGAACGGACACACUGGAACUGAGACACGGUCCAGACUCCUACGGGAGGCAGCA
rnacentral:rRNA from 1 species